rnacentral:rRNA from 1 species
CUUUACUGUAACCUGGAAUUGGGUUCGGGCUUUGACUGCGCAGGAUAGGUGGGAGACUAUGAAGCAAUCCUUGUGGGGAUUGUGGAGUCAACAGUGAGAUACCACUCUGUCAGAGCUAGAAUUCUAACCUUCACCCGUUAUCCGGGGAAGGAACCGUAUCAGGCGGGCAGUUUGACUGGGGCGGUCGCCUCCUAAAUGGUAACGGAGGCGCGCAAAGGUGUUCUCAGGCUGGUUGGAAAUCAGCCGCAGAGUGUAAAGGCAGAAGAACGCUUGACUGUGAGAGUGACAACUCGAGCAGGGUGGAAACACGGCCUUAGUGAUCCGACCGCUUGUGCGUGGAAAUGCCGUCGCUCAACGGAUAAAAGUUA